UACAGAGGUCUCAACCGUUGUUCGGAUUCAUUGGGCGUAAAGGGUGCGUAGGCGGUCGCGCAAGUCGGAUGUGAAAUCUUAGGGCUCAACCCUGAAACUGCAUUCGAUACUGCGUGGCUCGAGUACUGGAGAGGAGACUGGAAUUUACGGUGUAGCAGUGAAAUGCGUAGAUAUCGUAAGGAAGACCAGUGGCGAAGGCGAGUCUCUGGACAGAUUACUGACGCUGAGGCACGGAAGGCCAGGGGAGCAAACGG
rnacentral:rRNA from 1 species